rnacentral:rRNA from 1 species
CGUACCUAUCUUGCUGUCGGGGACGCGCUUCUGGCCUUAAUUGGCUGGGACGCGGAGUCGGCGAUGUUACUUUGAAAAAAUUAGAGUGUUCAAAGCAGGCCUAAGCUCUGAAUACAUUAGCAUGGAAUAACGCUAUAGGACUCUGGUCUUAUUGCGUUGGUCUUCGAGACCGGAGUAAUGAUUAAGAGGGACAGUUGGGGGCAUUCGUAUUUCAUUGUCAGAGGUGAAAUUCUUGGAUUUAUGAAAGACGAACUUCUGCGAAAGCAUUUGCCAAGGAUGUUUUCAUUAAUCAAGAACGAAAGUUGGGGGCUCGAAGACGAUCAGAUACCGUCCUAGUCUCAACCAUAAACGAUGCCGACUAGGGAUUGGCGGAUGUUAAUUCGAUGACUUCGCCAGCACCUUAUGA